rnacentral:rRNA from 1 species
UACGGAGGGUGCAAGCGUUAUCCGGAUUUAUUGGGUUUAAAGGGUGCGCAGGCGGGUCUUUAAGUCAGUGGUGAAAUCCCUUCGCUUAACGAAGGAACUGCCAUUGAUACUGAAGUUCUUGAAUCUAGUUGACGUUAGUGGAAUGUGUCAUGUAGCGGUGAAAUGCUUAGAUAUGACACAGAACACCGAUCGCGAAGGCAGCUAACGAAGCUAGUAUUGACGCUCAGGCACGACAGCAUGGGGAGCAAACAGG